UAAGAUAUGUGUAGAUGAAGUGAUAAAGAGAUGCAUCCCUGACUAUGACAUUGGAGAGAUUCUCCAAUUCAAAUUCUAUCACAGUAAAGAAGCUGGAGGACAUUUUAGAGCCAUAAGAACUGCAGUAAAGGUGCUUUAAUCAGGUUUCUAUUGGCUUAAUGUAUUUAAAGAUGCCCACAGGUAUAUUCAUCAUGUGUUGAAUGCUAAAUAACAAGUAAUAUUUCUAGAAAACAUGAGUUACUUUUAAGCAACAUAUU
rnacentral:lncRNA from 1 species